rnacentral:lncRNA from 1 species
UCCCCGUCCCGAUUCAUCCUGCCACCGAACAUCGCGCCGCCAUGAUCCGCGGCCGCUCACUUGUGCGCACCGCCUCCGUCUGUAGAUUCCCGCCGCCCGUCCGCUCCCGCGCGCCGCCUGCUCCCACUUGCCGCCCGGUAUGCCUAUGCGCCGCCUGCCUGCACCCUCACGCAGCCUUGUCCGCCCGUUCGUCGCCCACACAUCGUGUUCGGCCACUGGUCGC